GACAGAGGGUGCAAACGUUGUUCGGAAUUACUGGGCGUAAAGCGCGUGUAGGCUGCCCCGCAAGUCGGAUGUGAAAGCCCUGGGCUCAACCUAGGAAGUGCAUUCGAAACUGCGGGGCUGGAGCCUGGAGAGGAAGGCGGAAUUCUCGGUGUAGAGGUGAAAUUCGUAGAUAUCGAGAGGAACACCGGUGGCGAAGGCGGCUCACUGGCCCGGUACUGACGCUGAGGCACGGAAAGCGUGGGGAGCAAACAGGG
rnacentral:rRNA from 1 species